GACGACAACAGUCGGUCGGGCUCACUCUUUGGUCGCAUUCCCAGUGCGGCAACAUCAAAGCAAAGCAGUCGCUAAUGAAGUUUACUUGAAUUAAAAAGAGGCUCAGAAGAAGGUUUUACAGCACUUCAUGAUGAUGGAUGGUUUGAAGCCAAGGUGCCCCAAACUUACUUUGUCUUAUUUUACAUAAAUAAAAUUGUAAUAAAAAAAGUCCUGCCGUUAUUUGGAUAUGCCAAAAUAUUAUGAGAAAGAACGAAGUGUAAUAAUUAAUCUGUACUAUACUAUAAACAAUAUCAGAUUUAUUACAAGUACAUAUUUUGGUUUAUAGGUUAGGCUGACGCUAAAAUAAAGAAAAUAAACCACGAAUCCAAAUGAAAGAGUUGAUGCAUCUACUUAAAUGGGGUACUUUUCAUUUUCAUCCAUUGGUGACCUUUCCUUGCAUCUUUUUCUGACGUUCUUUUUUGUGUUAAGGUUUCUUUACAAAGCAGUGCUGCCUUAGCUGCCCAUAACAGCAAUUCCAUUUUUUUUGUUCGUGUCAAGCAAAUAUACACUUUCAUGUAAAAGCAGUGUGGCCCUAAACCUGAAACUCCCGAAAAAUAUUAUUUUGCAGAGAUAUAAAUGAACGUGAACUGCACUGAACCUUAUGAUUGGACAGUGACAAGGAAAAGAAAAAAACGAUGCUCCAAUUAACCUUCCUCCUUGUGCUUUUUUUUUUAAUACCCUCAUUCCCAUAUGUUGACAUAAAUGCUCAGGCUGCGGAGGAAUUAAAAGUUCUUAUUUUGGUGCCUCUUUGACUCCCACAGUGAGAAAUUAAAUCAUAGCGAAACACAUAAAUCACAAGCUGGGGGGUGGGGUAGGGGGGAGGGGGGAACAGGCGGGGACAGUCGCAUCUACUCCGCUGCAAUCGCCCUCUCAUUCAUCACAAGAGUCAAAAGACAUUCUCCCCUAGCCCAAGUCCACAAAUUAAAGUGAGCAGGCCACCGGAAUCAAUUCCAAGUCUAAAAACCGCCUACACACCGCGAUGGCAUAUUCUCCAAAACAACAUUCUGUGGUAUCGGUUCACAUACUCAGGUAUUACCAAGGCCACUCCACAAACGCUGACGCAGUCAGAGAGAAAUUGAUGUAACGAAACAUAUGCACACACGGACAAAAUUGUUGGUACCCCUUUGUCAUGAAAUACAAGCCAAAGUGGUGGUAAUCUAAUAAAAGUAACAAUUUCAAAAAAAAAAAAAAAAAAAAAAAAAAUGAACAAAUGGAAAUCAGACAUUGCUUUUGAAUUGUGAUUUAACAGAAUUAGUUAAAAGUGAGUGUCCCUGAAAAAGAUUGAAAAUAACAUCAACACUUAACCAGAGAUGGCCUUGUGUCCUGAAAUGUAGUAUUGACGAUGAUUUUAAAAAUGUCUUCACUGUUUCCAGGCAAUAUUUGAUGGUUUGAGAGAUAUUCUCAUUUUUGAAGUUUGACUUGUGAAAGCUUGCGCAACAUAUGUAUAGAUGGUAGCAUACCUCAUAAUUUAUAGCAACGACGUCUCAGGAAAGAAAAAUAUGAUUGAAAAAUUUAGUAAAAAUAAAUA